ACCCACUGCAAAAAAAUUGAACCUUUGAUUAAUUAUAGCGAAGUAAUACCACCAAAUAUGACAGGGGACAUUUUUUUGGGACACCCUGUAUAUACCUGGGGCCAUUUGCUGUUACGCCAUGCAAGGUGAAACGUUGAAUUUUUUUUUAACUUUAAGGCUGAUAAAUGAUAGGGAUAUGGUUUCCGUAACAAUAAUAACAAACCAAAACAACGAUAUGCUCUAAAAACACUGUGCUUAAAAUUUUCCAGGUUAACUUAGAAAUAUACCUAUUUGGGUUAAAUCAACAAGGACGUUCUCCCAAUUGGUACCUGACCAAGGCCUUAUGUGACAUAACAACAUGUAAUAAAUUUUGUAACACGCAAUUAAAUUGUCGUCAAAUGACUGGCUGAUUAUGAUCACGUGAUAUCAAAAAGUACCAUUUUCAUGAUCAAUGGAACGUUCCAUCCAGUUAGCUGAAACCUGAAAUCAAAACUGAAACCAAGACCCUGG